rnacentral:rRNA from 1 species
AGUGAACGCUGGCGGUAGGCCUAACACAUGCAAGUCGAACGGCAGCACAGUAAGAGCUUGCUCUUACGGGUGGCGAGUGGCGGACGGGUGAGGAAUACAUCGGAAUCUACUUUUUCGUGGGGGAUAACGUAGGGAAACUUACGCUAAUACCGCAUACGACCUACGGGUGAAAGCAGGGGAUCUUCGGACCUUGCGCGAUUGAAUGCGCCGAUGUCGGAGUAGCUAGUUGGCGGGGUAAAGGCCCACCAAGGCGACGAUCCGUAGCUGGUCUGAGAGGAUGAUCGGCCACACUGGAACUGAGACACGGUCCAGACUCCUACGGGAGGCAGCAGUGGGGAAUAUUGGACAAUGGGCGCAAGCCUGAUCCAGCCAUACCGCGUGGGUGAAGAAGGCCUUCGGGUUGUAAAGCCCUUUUGUUGGGAAAGAAAAGCAGCAGGUUAAUACCCCGCUGUUCUGACGGUACCCAAAGAAUAAGCACCGGCUAACUUCGUG